rnacentral:misc_RNA from 1 species
UCUCCGUUGGUGAACCAGCGGAGGGAUCAUUACCGAAGUUACCUUCAAAACCCACUGUGAACCUUACCUCUUGCCGCGUUGUCUCGGCGGGAGGCGGUGUGCGUCGCUCGCCCUAGCGGGCCGCGCCGCUCCCGUCCCCGCCGGCAGCGCCAAACUCUAAAUGCACAGCGGACUGUACGUUCUGAUUUACAAAAAAAACAAGUUAAAACUUUCAACAACGGAUCUCUUGGUUCUA